UAACGCGCGGUGAAAUCCAAUGCGCAGGAGCUCUUUCUUUCUUCGUUUUUGUUUUUAGUUAAGUGUUUUUAAAAGCAUAUUUUUAAUUAACUAUAUGAAAAUGUCAGUUUAUUUGGUCUUCUUAUCAGGACUAAACUAAUAUGUUCGGUGGUGAAUUGUGGGAUCUACUGUAUAUACGUAUACAGGAGCCAGAAUCGGGAGGAAGAGGAUGAAGAUGGCAUGGCGUGGGAGGUGGAGGUGGAAGACAAG